GGAGUGGGAUGAACGUCAAGUCCUCAUCGGCCUUUAUGUCUAGGGCUACACACGUACUACAAUGGCCGGUACAAAGGGCAGCCACUCAGCGAUGAGGCGCUAAUCCCAUAAAGCCGGUCUCAGUCCGGAUCGCAGUCUGCAACUCGACUGCGUGAAGUUGGAAUCGCUAGUAAUCGUAGAUCAGCAUGCUACGGUGAAUACGUUCCCGGGCCUU
rnacentral:rRNA from 1 species